UCCUGUGAUUAAACACUUCUAUCCUGAUUGGAAUGGUCUCUCCAAGCCCUAUCACCAGGGUAUGAGCUCCCAAUGAUUUGUAUGAAAAUGAUGUCAAUUGUGUGCCAUGGCCUUCAUAGUCAUCAGAUCUCAACCCAGUUGAACAAAUAUCUUUUGAAAGAAUGUUCAUCACUCUAGUAUAGUUCCAGAGACUAGUGCAGUCCUUCAGUACUUUAUUGAUAUGAAACUAUUUAAAAUGUCAUAGAUAUCUAAAAAAUGAAAAUAGACAUCAAAGGAUUUGGUCCAAACUGGUGGGGUUUUUUUUAUUCAUAUUUUAACAUACAUGGACCAUUCUUAUGUUUCAGAAAACUGGAGCCCUAGAUACAAUACAGAAGAAGGUUCUAACUUGAAACGCAUUUUACAGAAAUGGUAAGGCUAGCAUUGCAUCUCAGUAUUGUUAGGCUGUUUCACAUGAUUUAGUCAUCUCCUUACAUACCAGCAGGUGGCGGUAAUACACCGAGCUGUUUGCCAACCGCCAUAAGAGAACAAGAAGAAGAAGAAGCCACUGUUUUAGUGGAGACAUUGAAUAGACCUGCAAUUGACUCCAAUAAAGACACAGUGCGGAAGAAACAUCCACAUAGACUGCAGCUCCAACUACAUGUCCUUGUUAGCUCUGUAUCACAGUUUACCAUAAAGGGAAACAGUCUGAGAUGAAGCAGAAGAACAUGGAUUAAACCCUGUCAACGUCAGAAAAAGGGGGGAAAGACAAUUGAGUUGGUGCUCUCAGUGCAGUAUAAUUCACUGUGAAAACAGUGACAUAAUUUGGUGGUGAUUUGUAGCAGAUCCAUAGACUAGUUCAGGGUUAGUGUUUAAUAAGUUCUUCAUUUUUGGGACGCUAAGUUUCUGAAGGAAAUUUAAAAACACCAGGAUGGGGAAGAAAUCUGAUCUAAGUGACUUUGACCGUGGCUUGGUUGUUGGUUCCAGACGAGGAGGUUUGAGUGUCUCUGAAACUGCUGAUCUCCUGGGAUUUUCACGCACAACAGUCUCCAGAGUUUACACAGAAUGGCGCGAGAAAGAAAAAACAUCCAGCGAGCGGCAUUUCUGUGGGCGAAAACGCCUCAUUAAUGAGAGAGGUCAGAGGAGAUUGGACAGAUUGGUGCAAGCUGACAGGACGGCGUCGGUAACUGAAAUAACCAUGCGUUAUAACAGUGGUGUACGGAAAGGCAUCUCUGAAAGCACGACACGUCGAACCCUGAAGUGGAUGGGCUACAGCAAAAGACCAUCAUGUACUCCCAUAACGCAAGUAAAGGAAAUUAAGGCCUCAGUGGACACAACCUCACCACGGUCGGCCAGCUGAAGAAAGCUAUGGAAACCAUUGCCUCGUUCGAAAAAUCUCAUUCUGCUAAUAGUUGUCAGAAUUUUUCCUAAAUUACAUCAAACCAUGAAUUCAUCCUACUUUGUGUUGAUGUUUUAGCCUUGUGGUGGUGGUGUAAUGGUGUGGGGAAUGUUUUCUUGGCACCCAUUAGGCCCCGGAAUACCAAAUGAGCAUUGAUUAAAUGCCACAGACUACCUAAGUCUUGCUGCUGAAAACAUGCUCCCCUUUACCAAAUCUUAAUCCAAGGUAUCCCGUGUAAGACAUUUUGUUGGUAUGGUUUUGGUCCACUUGUCCCCUUAGAGUGAAGUGUUACUGCAAAUCAGUGCAAAUUUCAUCUGACUGAUCACCUUUAUCCUAUUAUGAAAAAUUUCUGUUCUAGGAGUGGUCUCUUCCAGGAUGACCCGGCCCCCAUUCACAAGGCAAAGGUGCUCACUGAAUUGGUUCUGUGAAAACGAUAUGCUGUAAAUCAUAUGCUUUGUCCUUCACAGUCAAAAGAUCUCAACACAAUUGAACACUUAUGUGAGAUUUUGGAGCGUUCUCCACCACGAUCUUAAAAAGACCAAUCGAGGGAAUAUUUUUUGUAAGAAUGGUGUUUGUCCAUCUAGUACAGUCCCUGAGAUUACCGUCAAGGUGCAAUGUAGCUGUCAUAGUGGCUUUUUGGCCCCAACAACCUAAUGUAUAUAUUUUUAAUAAUGCGUUACCAUGUGCAGGAUAUUUAAAUCACCCAUUAUGAAUGUAGACACAGUUAUAUGCACAAAUAACAAGCAAAUCAUAGGGUGCCCGCUUCAUAGAGGCAUAACUUUCUUUGAAUGUAAUCACUGUAGAAGUAACCAAGUGGAAAAAACUUGCACAUGUGCGUGUACAAUCAAAGCCGGGCUUAACAGAGUGUUUAAGCAAAGUGAUUCGUGUAAAUUUGUUCUUCUGAUUGUUUUACGUGCUUUCUUUAGUCGCUGCUGUUUCUUUGGUCACACAAAAUAGAAUAUGUCUACUUAAAUAAAGCAAUCUGUUCAGCCUACGAAUUGACGGUUCAUCGAACGCAAUAUGCAAGAAGGGACCAAACGUCAUAAAAUGCCAAUUAAAUUAAAUCAUAAAUAUCUCAAAUUUACUGAGCAGCAGUUAGAACAGUCUUAGACUAUAGAGGCAUUAAAAAUAGUAGAGAUGCACCGAUGUAUCGGUCGAUAAACGCAAUUUUUCCCGCUACGGACCAUCGGCCGAUAGUUUAAAGACAUCCGACGAUCGGGGCCGAUUAUAUCCUGUCAAUCAAUCAAAAGAGGGCGGGAAAACACAUCGAUUUCGUGCUGUGUGUAAAGAUGAUGUCUCUUGUGUGGAAUGACGACAAAACUGCAGUUUGUAAUCUCUGCGCUGAUAAAAUUUUACACCAGAAGUGAGCAGUACACCGUUGAAAGAUUUCAAUGAAGAUGAGUUGAGCAAAAAGUAUAUUUGUAGAGUCGUAUAUUUCAUAUCCAGUUAAUGUUAAUGUAUAUUAAAAAAAAGUUGAUAUUAUAUAUUACCAGUGUGAUGUUCAGUGAUGAAGUAGAAAUGCUUUAGUUUGUGGAGAGUGAAUGUGAGUCUAACAGGAGGAUUUUUAGAUUUCAGUCAAUGUUAAUAUGAAUGAAUAACAUUCCAUAAGUUACGAAAUCUUACUUUAAUCUUCAGAAUUUAGUUCAUGUGUUAAUGUUAAUUAGAGUAAUGUGUUUUCUGUUGAUGAGACCAGUUACUGUGGA